rnacentral:rRNA from 1 species
GUCUACAGCCAUACCACCCUGAAUGCGCCCGAUCUCGUGUGAUCUUGGAAACUAAGCAGGGUCGGGCCUGGUUAGUACUUGGAUGGAAGAUCUGUUAAGUUCUUUGGAGGGGAAUAUA